UGAGGAAUAUUGGUCAAUGGGCGAGAGCCUGAACCAGCCAAGUAGCGUGAAGGAUGACGGCCCUACGGGUUGUAAACUUCUUUUGUGCGGGAAUAAAGGAACCUACGUGUAGGUUUUUGCAUGUACCGUAACGAAUAAGCAUCGGCUAACUCCGUGCCAGCAGCCGCGGUAAUACGGAGGAUGCGAGCGUUAUCCGGAUUUAUUGGGUUUAAAGGGAGCGUAGACGGGUUUUUAAGUCAGCUGUGAAAGUUUGGGGCUCAACCUUAAAAUUGCAGUUGAUACUGGUUUCCUUGAGUGCAGUUGAGGCAGGCGGAAUUCGUGGUGUAGCGGUGAAAUGCUUAGAUAUCACGAAGAACCCCGAUUGCGAAGGCAGCUUGCUAAACUGUAACUGACGUUCAUGCUCGAAAGUGUGGGUAUCAAACAGGAUUAGAUACCCUGGUAGUCCACACGGUAAACGAUGGAUACUCGCUGUUGGCGAUAUACUGUCAGCGGCCAAGCGAAAGCAUUAAGUAUCCCACCUGGGGAGUACGCCGGCAACGGUGAAACUCAAAGGAAUUGACGGGGGCCCGCACAAGCGGAGGAACAUGUGGUUUAAUUCGAUGAUACGCGAGGAACCUUACCCGGGCUUAAAUUGCAGACGAAUUACGAGGAAACUUGUAAGCCGCAAGGCGUCUGUGAAGGUGCUGCAUGGUUGUCGUCAGCUCGUGCCGUGAGGUGUCGGCUUAAGUGCCAUAACGAGCGCAACCCUCGUGGUCAGUUACUAACAGGUUAAGCUGAGGACUCUGGCCAGACUGCCAUCGUAAGAUGUGAGGAAGGUGGGGAUGACGUCAAAUCAGCACGGCCCUUACGUCCGGGGCUACACACGUGUUACAAUGGGAGGUACAGAAGGCAGCUACCCGGCGACGGGAUGCCAAUCCCCAAAACCUCUCUCAGUUCGGACUGGAGUCUGCAACCCGACUCCACGAAGCUGGAUUCGCUAGUAAUCGCGCAUCAGCCACGGCGCGGUGAAUACGUUCCC
rnacentral:rRNA from 1 species